ensembl:snRNA U6 U6 spliceosomal RNA
GUGCUUGCUUCAACAGCACAUAUACUAAGAUUGGAAGAAAGAUUAGCAUGGCCCUUCUGCAAGGAUGACAUGCAAAUUUGCGAUGUUCCAUAUUUUU